GGGCGCAAGCCUGACCGCAAUGCCGCGUGUGUGAAGAAGGCCUUCGGGUUGUAAAGCACUUUUGUCCGGAAAGAAAACCUCUGGGUUAAUACCCCGGGGGGAUGACGGUACCGGAAGAAUAAGCACCGGCUAACUACGUGCCAGCAGCCGCGGUAAUACGUAGGGUGCAAGCGUUAAUCGGAAUUACUGGGCGUAAAGCGUGCGCAGGCGGUUUGCUAAGACAGAUGUGAAAUCCCCGGGCUUAACCUGGGAACUGCAUUUGUGACUGGCAGGCUAGAGUAUGGCAGAGGGGGGUAGAAUUCCACGUGUAGCAGUGAAAUGCGUAGAGAUGUGGAGGAAUACCGAUGGCGAAGGCAGCCCCCUGGGCCAAUACUGACGCUCAUGCACGAAAGCGUGGGGAGCAAACAGGAUUAGAUACCCUGGUAGUCCACGCCCUAAACGAUGUCAACUAGUUGUUGGGGAUUCAUUUCCUUAGUAACGUAGCUAACGCGUGAAGUUGACCGCCUGGGGAG
rnacentral:rRNA from 1 species